UUAGGAACAUGACCACCAUGCCCCAGGAAAGCACAGCAGCUCAAGGAGAGGCCCAGGUGGAGAAGAACUGAGGCUUCCGAGGCGAUCCGGCAGUGUCAGUCUUCAGCCACUAAGCUGAGAAGAUCUGGGAAGGAGUCAGAGAGCCUUGGGCCAGAGUUCCAGGGGCUCUGGGAGUGGCUGCCAGGGCUUGGACAAGCUUGUGACCAUUGAAAAGAACAGG